CCGCGGGACCUGGCUCGGUGGUCCGGCGCUCCCGAGAAUAACCUUUCUGUGCGGAUGGAUGUGCGCUUUCAAACCCCGCCAGAAGCUCGGCGGUUUCCCAGGAGCAGCGGCCCGUCCGCGCCGAGAGCUGGUGCCCAGGCCGGGCAGCGCCGCCCUGCCCGAUCCCCGGCGGGAUAUGCCACGGGACCCGCCGGGCGGCACCUGGAAAACCGGUGUCAGUGAGAAAUCCUGACAUUCGAUUAAAUUAUUUUUUUCCCCUUAAGUUACAACAAAAAAUAGUAGGUGCGAAGUGGAAGGUGCAUUUUCAGUGAAAACCCAACAGUUCUUUAAUGGCGGAUUAAGCUGUUGGAGGAAAUCCAGAGGAGGGUCACGAAGCUGAUAAGAGAACUGGAGCACCUCCCCUUCAAAGACAGGCUGAGAAAGUUGGGGCUGUUCAGCCUGGAGAAGAGGAGGUUGCGUGGAGACCUCAUAGCAACCUUUUUAGUAUCUGAAGAGGACCUACAUGGAAGCUGGAGAGGACCUCGUCGUCAGGAAAUGCAAUGAUAGAACAGGGAAUAAUGGGUACAAAUUGAAAGGGGAAAUUUAGGUUAGAUAUUAGAAAGAAAUUUUUUACUGUGAGAGUGGUAAGACACUGGACCAGGUUGCCCAGGGAGGUUGUGGAUGCCCCAACUCUGGCAGUGUUCAAAGCCAGGUUGGAUAAGACCUUGAGCAACGUGGUCUAGUGGGGUGUCCCUGCCCAUGGCAGAGGAUUCGAGACUAGAUGAUCUUUAAGGUCCGUUCCAGCCCCUUAACAUUCUAUGAUUCUAUGGUUACAUUUACUCCAGGGACAGGGAAGAAAGAGAGUCAUUGAUGAUCUCCCUGGUGAGGUAUCACCAUACCCAGUGGCCAUUUGUACUUUUCUGUACAACUCUGGCAUAAACUCUGAGCAAGUUUCAUCAUGGUCACUUCCAGCUAUAACUGUGCCUUGAAGAUGUUUGAGAGGUGACUAACAUUAGAAUGAUAAAACAAUAGGCACAAGCAGUACAGGGAAGGCAGAAAGAACAUGGGGUGAAUUCAAGAGCCAUAAUUCAACAGUCAGCAAACAAAGGGCAUGAUGCCAGACAAGUUCAGCCAUAAAGGAGCCUUGUCUUGGGGGCAGGCUGUGAUUGUUUGUGGACAGAUGGCUGCUUACCAGUUAAUAAAAAUAACUUCUGGAUACCUUUUCUUCAA